rnacentral:rRNA from 1 species
UACGUAGGGGGCAAGCGUUGUCCGGAUUUAUUGGGCGUAAAGAGCGUGUAGGCGGCCUGAAAGGUCAGCUGUGAAAACUCGAGGCUCAACUUCGAGACGUCGGUUGAAACCAUCUGGCUAGAGUCCGGAAGAGGAGUGUGGAAUUCCCGGUGUAGCGGUGAAAUGCGCAGAUAUCAGGAGGAACACCGGUGGCGAAGGCGGGUCUAUGGGCAGUAACUGACGCUGAGGAGCGAAAGCGUGGGGAGCGAACAGG